CACAGCUAGUGUGUGUCUAAGGCUGGAUUUGAACUCUCAUCUUCUGGCCACCAGGCCAAUUGUUCUUCCUGUGCCUCCUCCCUGCCAUAGUUACUGAUCUUGACUUCUGUCUCAGAAAUCACAAGUACUGACCUUUCAACUUUAAGACAUGUAUUCCUGGACAGUGAUCUCCAUUCAUUUUGCCCUUCUGCCUUUACCCUUUCUUCACAGUCUUUGGAAGAACAUCCUGACUUCAAACUCUUUCCUUACUGGAAGAUUUUGGUCAGCCCCCUGGUAGCCUCCCAGCUCCAGCCAGACUUCUGGAUUCAAAGCUGGGGGAUCUGUGUUUGAGUUGUGCUUCUAUGACUUGCUAGUGGAGUGACUUUGGGGCUGCAUUUCAUGGAGACCUUGCAGUGUCCUUAAGUGACAUCUAGAGUGUGGAGAGCUUCUCACCCACUCAACAGGAACCAAUCUGGGAGCUGCAGGCACAAGGCUGGGCACACAGAAGGUGCCAGAGGAUCCUGGCAUGAUCUGGAAGGGACCAUGCAAGCUGUUUAGUUCAAACGCUUCAUUUCAAAAGACCCAAGGAGAUAAAGUGACUUGCUUGGAGUCACUCAGAAAACAAAAAAAAAUGCCCAGCUGUUUUAUCAGGCUCUAUAAAUAAUGAUGGAUAAAACAAAUCAAGAUGACCUACUGGAAAGGAUUAUUUUGAGGAUAUCUAAACAUCAGCACUUCUGAAGUCUUAGAAAACAAACAUCAGAAUUUGAAGAGCUUACAACAUACAAGCAUGUUUGUAUUGCCAGCUAUUUAUAAGGGUGUUUCAUGAAUAUAAUGAAUC
ensembl:lncRNA